UGGGGAAUAUUGGACAAUGGGGGGAACCCUGAUCCAGCCAUGCCGCGUGUGUGAAGAAGGCCUUAUGGUUGUAAAGCACUUUAAGCGAGGAGGAGGCUACUAGUAUUAAUACUACUGGAUAGUGGACGUUACUCGCAGAAUAAGCACCGGCUAACUCUGUGCCAGCAGCCGCGGUAAUACAGAGGGUGCGAGCGUUAAUCGGAUUUACUGGGCGUAAAGCGUGCGUAGGCGGCCAUUUAAGUCAAAUGUGAAUCCCGAGCUUAACUUGGGAAUUGCAUUCGAUACUGGAUGGCUAGAGUAUGGGAGAGGAUGGUAGAAUUCCAGGUGUAGCGGUGAAAUGCGUAGAGAUCUGGAGGAAUACCGAUGGCGAAGGCAGCCAUCUGGCCUAAUACUGACGCUGAGGUACGAAAGCCAUGGGGGAGGCAAAACAGGAUUAGGAUACCCUGGUAGUCCAUGCCGUAAACGAUGUCUACUAGCCGUUGGGGCCUUUGAGGCUUUAGUGGCGCAGCUAACGCGAUAAGUAGACCGCCUGGGGAGUACGGUCGCAAG
rnacentral:rRNA from 1 species